rnacentral:lncRNA from 1 species
GUACCGGAAGUGCUAGCCACAGCGACUUCAGGUAGUCUCGGUCUUAGCGGAUUCCGCGGACUUUCUUGUCUUUCUGCGUACUGCACUAACUGAGCGACCAAUUGAUACCUAAGUUUAGCUGAACUUUUUGUUGAAUUAAUUAAAACUGUUUUGAAAUCUAUUCUGUAAGAGCCUGAGAAAAAUUGCGGCCACAGAAGCUGUUUUGAAAUGCGCUUGGCUUCCGACUUCCGCAAGGGGAGGCAGCUGUUUCUUGUAGUCUUGCUCUGUCACCUACACUGGAAUUCAGUGGCACAGUCUCAGCUCAGCUCACUGCAACCUCCACCUCCCGGGUUCAAGUGAUUCUCAUACCUCAGCCUCCUGAGUAGCUGGGAUUACAGAGACCUGGACUUAAUCUCAGCUGGUGUACAGAGUUCUCUCCAAAAACAAGUGGCCUACUUCACAUUCAGUGAAUUGAUAUAUUCUUAUUUUAAGUUAUCAGGAAAAAAAGUCCUUGGGAAUUGAGAAGCCAAUGAGAUUAGUCGUUCAAGCUGAAGUCAUUCUAUCUGCUAGCUGUCUGGAGCCACUGAAGCUGUGGGCGAACAGCAACAAGUUUAAGCUACAUCUGCACACUCUGCGGUCCAUCCAGAGACCAAGAAAGAAGCACAAGGAUCCUGCAGAGUCUUCCGAAGCCCAAGCCAAAUAUAUGAGGCAGGGAGCUAGAGAAUGUGGAGGAAGUGGUCAGUAGGAAAAGGAAUGGGAACAGACAUUCUCCUUCAGAAACUUGAGGUCCAGUCCCUGAACUUUAGCUGGCCCCAAAACUUGAGCAAGCUCUAAAAAGCAGAACAUCUCCCACUUAACAGUUUAUUCUGAGAACUGGCCAACCACAGGAGGGAAAAUCAUAUCUCCAGUUAAAGUGCCCUGAUCAUGCCAUCUGCUCAUCCUACCCCCUUUGCCCUGCUCCCACACAAAGUUCCUGCUAGCCCUGUUUACGUCUUCUUUUUUAAACUCUUUUUUUAAAAUUUGAUUUUUAGACAUUUGAAGAUUUCCAUGGUCAGAGGGUCUGUAAUAGUCUUUUUUGAAUAAAGCUGCUC